CAUGAAUGAUCGAUCACCCUGGUACCAUUUGUCCCCCCCGUGUGGCUGGGCCUGCCUUUGGGCGGCCCCCGCCGGGCGUCGGUCCCCUGGCUGGGGCUUACGAGCCGCAGUUUCAGGUCCGGCGGGCGUCUCUCCGGCGUUGGGCUUUGCCCUCGCCGGCUGGUGACGCUGGUAAUUUGUAUCCAACUCAAUCCACCCCAAACACAAAACCAAUCUGAAGCAAACAGCGGUGGCGGCCUGUCCGCUCCGCACAAACCAAAGACAACUCUCAACAACGGAUAUCUUGGCUCCCGUAUCGAUGAAGAACGCAGCGAAAUGCGAUACGUAGUGUGAAUUGCAGAAUUCCGUGAACCAUCGAAUCUUUGAACGCAAAUUGCGCCCGAGGCUUCGGCCGAGGGCAUGUCUGCCUCAGCGUCGGCUUACACCCUCGCCCCCCUCUCCUUGAGGGAGUGCGGACCUGGCCUUCCCGGCUCCGUUGCCUUUCGUAGGCUGCGUCCGGGUCGGCUGAAGUGUAGAGGCUUGAGCAUGGACCCCGUUUGCAGGGCAAUGGCUUGGUAGGUAGCACCCGCUACGCAGCCUGCCGUGGCCCGAGGGGACUUUGCUGGCGGCCUAGCAGGAAUUCGGUGGUGGUUUCGGCCCCCCGAACGCUCUCACUUUCGACCUGAGCUCAGGCAAGACUACCCGCUGAACUUAAGCAUAUU
rnacentral:rRNA from 1 species